rfam:Canis lupus familiaris chromosome 11, whole genome shotgun sequence.
UUUUUAGGGUAAGUAUGCCCCAUGCAACUUUUGGGAUAUAUUUAUACUAAAA